GUGUUCACUUCGGCAGCACAUAUGCUAAAAUUAAAACAAUACAGAGAAGAUUUUUGUAGUAACCCUGCACAAAGAUGACACACAAAUUCAUGAAGCAUUCUAGGAAAAU
ensembl:snRNA U6 U6 spliceosomal RNA